rnacentral:rRNA from 1 species
UACGUAGGGCGCAAGCGUUGUCCGGAAUUAUUGGGCGUAAAGAGCUCGUAGGCGGUUCGUUGCGUCAGCUGUGAAAACCCGCAGCUUAACUGUGGGCUUGCAGCUGAUACGGGCGGACUAGAGUUCGGUAGGGGAGACUGGAAUUCCUGGUGUAGCGGUGAAAUGCGCAGAUAUCAGGAGGAGCACCGGUGGCGAAGGCGGGUCUCUGGGGCCGAUACUGACGCUGAGGAGCGAAAAGCGUGGGGGAGCGAACAGG